rnacentral:rRNA from 1 species
GAGUUGCGAACGGGUGAGUAACGCGUAGGUAACCUGCCUUGUAGCGGGGGAUAACUAUUGGAAACGAUAGCUAAUACCGCAUAACAAUGGAUGACACAUGUCAUUUAUUUGAAAGGGGCAAUUGCUCCACUACAAGAUGGACCUGCGUUGUAUUAGCUAGUAGGUGAGGUAAUGGCUCACCUAGGCGACGAUACAUAGCCGACCUGAGAGGGUGAUCGGCCACACUGGGACUGAGACACGGCCCAGACUCCUACGGGAGGCAGCAGUAGGGAAUCUUCGGCAAUGGGGGCAACCCUGACCGAGCAACGCCGCGUGAGUGAAGAAGGUUUUCGGAUCGUAAAGCUCUGUUGUAAGUCAAGAACGGGUGUGAGAGUGGAAAGUUCACACUGUGACGGUAGCUUACCAGAAAGGGACGGCUAACUACGUGCCAGCAGCCGCGGUAAUACGUAGGUCCCGAGCGUUGUCCGGAUUUAUUGGGCGUAAAGCGAGCGCAGGCGGUUUGAUAAGUCUGAAGUUAAAGGCUGUGGCUCAACCAUAGUUCGCUUUGGAAACUGUCAAACUUGAGUGCAGAAGGGGAGAGUGGAAUUCCAUGUGUAGCGGUGAAAUGCGUAGAUAUAUGGAGGAACACCGGUGGCGAAAGCGGCUCUCUGGUCUGUAACUGACGCUGAGGCUCGAAAGCGUGGGGAGCGAACAGGAUUAGAUACCCUGGUAGUCCACGCCGUAAACGAUGAGUGCUAGGUGUUGGAUCCUUUCCGGGAUUCAGUGCCGCAGCUAACGCAUUAAGCACUCCGCCUGGGGAGUACGACCGCAAGGUUGAAACUCAAAGGAAUUGACGGGGGCCCGCACAAGCGGUGGAGCAUGUGGUUUAAUUCGAAGCAACGCGAAGAACCUUACCAGGUCUUGACAUCCCGAUGCUAUUUCUAGAGAUAGAAAGUUACUUCGGUACAUCGGUGACAGGUGGUGCAUGGUUGUCGUCAGCUCGUGUCGUGAGAUGUUGGGUUAAGUCCCGCAACGAGCGCAACCCCUAUUGUUAGUUGCCAUCAUUCAGUUGGGCACUCUAGCGAGACUGCCGGUAAUAAACCGGAGGAAGGUGGGGAUGACGUCAAAUCAUCAUGCCCCUUAUGACCUGGGCUACACACGUGCUACAAUGGUUGGUACAACGAGUUGCGAGUCGGUGACGGCGAGCUAAUCUCUUAAAGCCAAUCUCAGUUCGGAUUGUAGGCUGCAACUCGCCUACAUGAAGUCGGAAUCGCUAGUAAUCGCGGAUCAGCACGCCGCGGUGAAUACGUUCCCGGGCCUUGUACACACCGCCCGUCACACCACGAGAGUUUG